GACUGCCCUGAGCGGGUUCUGAUUGGCUGUAGCCAUGGUGAUGCGGAACUUUCUGUCAACAAACAUUGCCAAACGGACUGUGGAGGAGGAGGAGAAGAAAUAUCGCGCCGGACAGAUGGAGGAGCAUGGGCGGUGUAUACUUUAGCGGCUGCCACACAAGGCAUGGCUAGGAAAGGCUGGUUCAUUCCAGAAGAAAAGGA